UUAUAUGGAGCAGAGAGGGGGAACAUUUUGACCCCAGUGUUGUGUUUGUACCUUUGUGGUGUUGGCUAACACAGUUCAUGUUUCACACAAGAUGGCAGCUUCCUCUUCCGUACCCCCGGCGACCGUUCCAUUCCAUGCACCAUGGCGGGGACUUUCAAAAGCAAACAUACAUCAUCCUGUAGCAGGAGGGCGUAGAAGCCCAAUCUAUGGAGGGAACAAUCAGUUCAAUCUGAUGAGUGCUGGGAUGCCUACAUCGGACAGCUAAGGCACAGCUCUCUCUUUCUCUGUCUCUCUGCUCAGACAAACAUCUCCUCCCAACCCCCUGUCCAAAGGAUCUCCAAUGCCUCUCUCUGUGUGAAGCUCCUGCUUUUCAUCACCACGGAAGUUGGAGACCCACCUUACCCACCUACUGACUCUCACCCCUAUCCCCCAAACCCUCCGCCGCCCCCGGCUGUCGCCCCACCCCUCACUGCACCUCUCAUCUCCAACACGGCUCAAUAAAAUUACCAUGUUUGGACAUUGAGCGAGCCACCGUUAAAAGCCUGAUCGAUGAGCUUUGACUGACACCCCUCAGUUGAUAGCAAAUUGGCCGGCUUUCCUAGCGGCCUCCCACGGAGAGUUUCAAAGCCUUGCUCUAAAUUCCCCGCUGGAGGAGAAGGGAGAGAAGAAAAAAAGUUGCUGCACUUUCCGCCAACCCUUCACCCAGCUGUCUGCCACUCAAAACAACACCGUGAGGCAGAGAGACCUACCUUUCUCACUGAGAGAAGGAGGAGGAGAAAGAGAGUUUAAGAAGCGGUUUCCUUUCCUGACUGCCGAGCCCAGUAUUUUGUUAACGGUUGAGUCACUAUCACAAUAUUUGCCCUCAGAUUCCAGUCAGCUUAAACUGGCAAGAAGCAGGAAGAUGGAGCUCUUUGUCUGAGGAGGAGAAAGAAAGAAAGAAGAAAGAAAGAAAGAAAGAAAGAAAGAAAGAAAGAAAGAAAGAAAGAAAGAAAGAAAGAAAGAAAGAAAGAAAGA